AUGGAUCGCCGGAGCUGGCCGUGGCGCCGCAAGUCCAUCUCGGACAAGGCCCCCGCCCCCACCGAAACCGAAACCGACAGCUCCGCCUCCUGCCCAUCCGAGGCUUUAACUGAUGAACAGGAUACCACCCUCAAGAGUUCCCCGAAAUCGCCGGAGGUCGCAUCCAAGGAAGCACAGGACAACAGCAAUGUGAAAGUCAAGGUGCUGAGCGAGAGGCUUUCCUCUGUGGUAUCGGAUAUUCGUGCCAAAGAUGAUCUCGUGAAGCAGCAUUCCAAAGUUGCCGAAGAAGCUGUUCUAGGAUGGGAGAAGGCCGAAAACGAGAUGGCAUCGCUGAAAGCCCAGCUGAAUGCUGCAACUGUCAAAAACGCAACGCUGGAUGGCGCGCUCAAGGAAUGCGUCCGGCAGCUCCGGCGCGCCAAGGAAGAGCAGGACCAAAAAGUCCAGGGCGCGCUGGCACUGCAGUCUCGGCAGUGGGAGUCAGACAAGACCGACCUAGAGCUGCGGGUUGUCGAGCUCAAGGCCAAGCUGGAAGCCAAGUCGGAGCGCUCGGUGACCAGUGACGGCGAUGCCAACUCCAGGCUGGCCUCUCUGGAGAAGGAGAAUUCGGCUCUCAAGGCGCAGCUGCUCGCCAAGACGGAGGAACUGGGGCUCAGGACCAUCGAGAAGGAGCUCAACAGGAGGGCGGCAGAGGCGGCCAGCAAGCAGCAGCUCGAGAGCAUCAGGAAGGCGGCCAAGCUUGAAGCCGAGUGCAGAAAACUGCAGGCCACUGCACGUAGGCCCUCCUUCAGCAGCGACCUCAGGCGCACUCCGAGCUCCCUCUGUACCGAGUCGGUGACGGACUGCCAGUCGGACUGCUCCGACUCAUGGGCAUCGGCUCUCAUCACCGAGCUCGACCAGUACAAGACCGAGACAAGGAGUGCAAGCCUAGCAACCGCAGUCGACAUCGGUGUGAUAGAUGACUUCCUUGAGAUGGAGAAGCUUGCGUCAGCCAACGGCGCCGUCUCGAGGAGCAGCAAUUAUGCCGAGGACACCGGUGGUCAGCUGGUGAAGCUAGAGGAGAAGGCCAGGAAGCUGGUGGCCGACAAGGACAAAGCCUUGCACGAAGCCCAGCGCGAGCUGAGGGCUUGCCGCCAUCGGGCAAUGGUGGCAGAGGAGAGAUCAGCUGAGAUGCAGAGGCAGCUGAAUCUCGUCAAUGGAGAGAGGCACGCCAUGGAGGCCGAAAUGCAAGACGCGGAGAGGAAGAGGAACGAUCUGGAGUGUAGACUUGAGCUGGCCCAUGGCGAGAUCACGAGCCUGUUGGACAAGGGGCGCAUCCUGGAGGAACGGCUGGACUCGGAGAAGGCGCUAACGCUGGAGCUCGCGGCAAAAUACCAGCAGAUGGAUGCGCUCGAGUCGGAGACGAAACAGCUGCGCGCUCAGCUCGAGUCUGACGCCAGAAAAUACAGCGACAAGAUCACCCUGCUAGAGAGGAGGCUCACAGAGAAAUGCCGUGCCGUCGAAGCUCUGGAAGCAAAGGUCAAGGGUGCAGAGAUUGAGCUGGAGCUGGCGGGACAAGAAAUUGUCUCAUUCCAAAAGAAGGUGCGUAGCCUGGAGCAGCAAGAUAAGGCAUUGUCUGUUGAAUCCGCAAAGCGGUGCCGCGAUCUCCAAGCACUGGAAGCAGAGAGAGAUGAGCUCAGAUCUCAACUCCAGGCUGCCAAUUCAGAUGUCUUUGCCCUGAAUGAGAAGGUUAACAUGCUUGAAGAGACUCUGGAGAAACGAGAACCGUUUAUUGCAGAACUGGAAUCUCAACUCAAGUCGGCGCAAGCUGAAAUCAAGAGCUUGAAGGAGAAUGCCGGCCAGUUGGAAAUGAAAUUGGAGACACAGAAGAACUUGUCAUCAGCCUACAUAACUGCACUGGAUGCUUCAGAAGCCCAGAAGAAGAAAAUGACGAACCAGUUCGAGCUCAAAGAGAAAGAAGCAGAGGAAUCGCACAGAAAGAUUUACUUGCUUGAGGAACAAAUUCUCAAAGAGAGAGCGGAAUCGUCGGAGUUCGCCGCGCAAUGCCAUGACUUGAAACAGGAGUUGUGCAGCAGAGCUCCAGUUCAUCAGCCAAAACCAAUGGAAGUGCAACCUAUGGCAAGUACAGACCUGCACAUCACAAAGGAGAAAGAGCUAGCUCGUGCUGCGGGGAAACUAGCAGACUGCCAGAAAACAAUAGCGUCACUAAGCGCGCAGUUGAAAACGUUAUCCGACUUUGAUGAAUUCAUCAUCCCUGAUCCUGGAGUUGAGAAUCAUGACAUCGCCUUAGCUGAAAGCUGGGAUGGCGAUCUCAAGCUGUUUGAUUCAGCAAGUUAUCCAGCACAGUUGGGCUGUUUGGCAGUCACAUGA
rnacentral:rRNA from 1 species